rnacentral:rRNA from 1 species
AUUGAACGCUAGCGGGAUGCCUUACACAUGCAAGUCGAACGGAGUGGCGAACGGGUGAGUAAUGUAUCGGAACGUGCCCAGUAGCGGGGGAUAACUACGAGAACGCGUAGCUAAUACCGCAUACUAUUGGAGCGGCCGUUAUCGGAUUAGCUAGUUGGUGGGGGAAGGGCUCACCCAGGCGACGAUCCGUAGCUGGUUUGAGAGGACGACCAGCCACACUGGGACUGAGACACGGCCCAGACUCCUACGGGAGGCAGCAGUGGGGAAUCUUCCGCAAUGGACGAAAGUCUGACCGAGCAACGCCGCGUGUGUGAAGAAGGUUUUCGGGUCGUAAAGCUCUUUUGUCAGAGAAGCGGUAUCUACCCAGAAAGCCACGGCUAACUACGUGCCAGCAGCCGCGGUAAUAC